UGACCCCGAGACCGAUAGCAAACAAGUACGGUGACGGAAGAUUGAAAAGAACUUUGAAGAGAGAGUUCAAUAGUACGUGAAACUGUGUGGUGGUAAACGGAGGGGUUCUCGAAGUUUCUGUGGGGAACUCAGCCUUGGUGUCGCGUGGCCCUGUUGUAUCUGAUCAGCAAUGACAGUGCAGCUUGUCCGACGUGUCUCUCGGGUGCAUUUCCCCCGCAGUUUACGGCAGGAACUGUUUGGAGCGCACCGAAGGCCUCGGGUGAAGUUGUUGGUUCUGCUAGCAGCCCUGGGUGUCCUGGCUUCGCACCAGACAGGUACGUGAGAGGACUCGUAUAGCGAGCAAUGCUCUGUUGCGGUUCUCAUCUCUCUGCCGAGUAGGUCGGCGGCCCCUCCGACCCGUCUUGAAACACGGACCAAGGAGUCUAACAUGUAUGCGAGCCAUUGAGUUGACUAAACUUAGAGGCGCAGUGAAAGCAAAGAGUAGCUUGUCUGCUCGAGGGACGAUCCGUAAGGCGCAGUCCCGCGACUUCCAAUCGACCUCGCAUCGUUGGGAGUACGCAGAGCAUAAAUGUUGGGACCCGAAAGAUGGUGAACUAUGCCUGGCCAGGUUGAAGUCAGGGGAAACCCUGAUGGAGGACCGUAGCGAUUCUGACGUGCAAAUCGAUCGUCGGAGCUGGGCAUAGGGGCGAAAGACUAAUCGAACCAUCUAGUAGCUGGUUCCUGCCGAAGUUUCCCUCAGGAUAGCUGGUGCUCAUUACGAGUUUCAUCCGGUAAAGAGAAUGAUUAGAAGCCUUGGGGGCGAAACGCCCUCAACUUAUUCUCAAACUUUAAAUGGGUGAGAAGUCUGUCUUGCUUGAGUGAAGUCAGACACUGAAUCGGAGUGCCUAGUGGGCCAUUUUUGGUAAGCAGAACUGGCGCUGUGGGAUGAACCAAACGCGGGGUUAAAGUGCCAAAGUAGAAGCUCAUCAGAUCCCACGAAAGGUGUUGGUUGCUUAUAACAGCAGGACGGUGGCCAUGGAAGUCGGAAUCCGCUAAGGAGUGUGUAACAACUCACCUGCCGAAGCAACUAGCCCUGAAAAUGGAUGGCGCUAAAGCUUCUCACUUAUACCCCGCCGUUCAGUUAGAACCGAGCUUCUAGCUCUUGACAACUGAACGAGUAGGCAGGUCGCACCGGUGGCGCGGAAGGCUCUGGGUGUGAACCUGGCUGGAGCCGCCGGUGGUGCAGAUCUUGGUGGUAGUAGCAAAUACUCCAGAGAGGCCCUGGAGGACCGAUGUGGAGAAGGGUUUCGUGUGAACAGCUGUUGGACACGAGUCAGUCGAUCCUAAGGCUUAGGGGAAACCUUAUACAAUAGAGCGGUGUUUUCUUAUUGAAGACCGCAUCUACAGCCGAAAGGGAAUGAGGUCCUUAUUCCUCAACCUGAUAGCGGAACCGAUCCGGCCCUCGUACCGACACGGCAACGUGAAAUGAGCCUGAGACGUCCGCCCGAGCUCUGGGAAGAGUUGUCUUUUCUGCAUAAGCCGCCGAGGCCCUGGAAUUCCUUCGAGGAGAGAAUGGGUUUUGGUCUAGGCAAAGAGCGCAGCAGUUCUCGCUGUGUCCAUGAGUGACGGGUGGAACCUUGAAAAUCAGGCUGAGGGUUACGGCGGAGUCGCAUCAGCUCGUACCCAUAUCCGCAGCAGGUCUCCUAGGUGAAUAGCCUCUGGUCGAUAGAAUAAUGUAGGUAAGGGAAGUCGGCAAAUUGGAUCCGUAACUUCGGGAUAAGGAUUGGCUCUGAGGGUCGGGGUGUUUGGGCUUUGUGCUGGAAGCGGGUUGGCCUACCGGUGGGCCUGGCCGAACCCUUGGGUGAAGUCGGUCCCGUUUCACAGGCUCCCGUGGAUAGCCAUUGCUUUGCGGGCCCGGGCAACCGGUGUCUCGUUCAAACAUCGAUCAACGACUAACUCAGAACUGGCACGGACUAGGGGAAUCCGACUGUCUAAUUAAAACAAAGCAUUGCGAUGGUCAGAGAUUGAUGUUGACGCAAUGUGAUUUCUGCCCAGUGCUCUGAAUGUCAAAGUGAAGAGGUUCGUCCAAGCGCGGGUAAACGGCGGGAGUAACUAUGACUCUCUUAAGGUAGCCAAAUGCCUCGCCAUCUAAUUAGUGGCGCGCAUGAAUGGAUUAACGAGAUUCCCACUGUCCCUAUCUACUAUCUAGCGAAACCGCAGCCAAGGGAACGGACUUGGGAAGAUCAGCGGGGAAAGAAG
rnacentral:rRNA from 1 species